rnacentral:rRNA from 1 species
UACGUAGGGCGCAAGCGUUAUCCGGAAUUAUUGGGCGUAAAGAGCUCGUAGGCGGUUUGUCGCGUCUGCCGUGAAAGUCCGGGGCUCAACUCCGGAUCUGCGGUGGGUACGGGCAGACUAGAGUGAUGUAGGGGAGACUGGAAUUCCUGGUGUAGCGGUGAAAUGCGUAGAUAUCUGGAGGAACACCGGUGGCGAAGGCGACGUCCUGGACCGGCAUUGACGCUGAGGCGCGAAAGCCAGGGGAGCAAACGGG